rnacentral:miRNA from 1 species
UCAGAGACCAGACGCAGAGGCU